GCUUGAGAGGAUUUAACAGCCCUGAAGGCACCCAGUCCUGUUUGAUCUUGGAAGCUAUGUAGGAUCAGAUCUGGUUAGUACUUGGAUGGGAGACUGCCAAAGAAUACUAGUUGCUGUAAGCU
rnacentral:rRNA from 1 species